rnacentral:lncRNA from 1 species
AAUAACAGGACUCUCAGCUACAUCCUGCUAUUGACACUCUUAAUCUGUUUAUUCAGUUCUUUGCUUUUCAUUGGACAGCCCAACACAACCACCUGCAUCUUGCAGCAGACAGCAUUUGGAAUUUUGUUCACUGUGGCUCUCUCCACAGUGUUGGCCAAAGCUAUUACAGUCGUUAUUGCAUUUAAGGCCACUGUUCCAGCUAGAAUGGUGAGAUGGUUAAUGAUAUCAAGAGCCCCUAAUUUCAUCAUUCCCAUCUGCACACUAAUACAACUAAUUAUCUGUGGAAUCUGGGUGGUUACCUCUCCACCCUUCAUUGAUCAAGAUACUCAGGCUGAACAUGGUCACAUCAUCAUUGUGUGCAACAUGGGUUCAACAGUUGCCUUCCACACUGUCCUGGGAUACCUCUGCUCCUUAGCACUUGGGAGCUACACCAUGGCUUUCUUGUCCAGGAAUCUGCCUGAC